AUUGAACGCUGGCGGCAUGCUUUACACAUGCAAAUCGAACGGCAGCGCGGGCUUCGGCCUGGCGGCGAGUGGCGAACGGGUGAGUAAUGCAUCGGAACGUGCCCAGUAGUGGGGGAUAGCCCGGCGAAAGCCGGAUUAAUACCGCAUACGACCUGAGGGUGAAAGCGGGGGACCGAAAGGCCUCGCGCUAUUGGAGCGGCCGAUGUCGGAUUAGCUAGUUGGUGGGGUAAAGGCUUACCAAGGCGACGAUCCGUAGCUGGUCUGAGAGGACGACCAGCCACACUGGAACUGAGACACGGCCCAGACUCCUACGGGAGGCAGCAGUGGGGAAUUUUGGACAAUGGGGGCAACCCUGAUCCAGCCAUGCCGCGUGCGGGAAGAAGGCCUUCGGGUUGUAAACCGCUUUUGUUCGGGAAGAAAUCCUCUGGGCUAAUACCCCGGGGGGAUGACGGUACCGGAAGAAUAAGCACCGGCUAACUACGUG
rnacentral:rRNA from 1 species